rnacentral:rRNA from 1 species
UACGGAGGGUGCAAGCGUUAUCCGGAUUUACUGGGUUUAAAGGGUGUGUAGGCGGGCUUUUAAGUCAGUGGUGAAAUCUCCGGGCUCAACCUGGAAACUGCCAUUGAUACUAUUAGUCUUGAAUUUUGUUGAGGUAGGCGGAAUAAGUCAUGUAGCGGUGAAAUGCUUAGAUAUGACUUAGAACACCAAUUGCGAAGGCAGCUUGCUAAACAAAUAUUGACGCUGAGGCACGAAAGCGUGGGGAUCAAACAGGAUUAGAUACCCG